CGGGUGCGAGUGGCAAACGGGUGCGUAACACGUUGGUAACCUACCCCAAAGACGGGAAUAACCUUCCGAAAGGAUGGCUAAUACCCGAUGUGCUUAACUCUCUACAAGAGUGGUAAGUAAAACUACGGUGCUUUGGGAGGGGCCUACGGACUAUCAGCUUGUUGGUAAGGUAAUGGCUUACCAAGGCUAUGACGGUUAGCGGGUGUGAGAGCACGACCCGCCUCACCGGGACUGAGACACUGCCCGGACUCCUACGGGAGGCUGCAGUCAAGAAUCUUUCUCAAUGGACGAAAGUCUGAAGAAGCGACGCCGCGUGCAGGAAUAAGCCCUUCGGGGUGUAAACUGCUUUUCUGAAGGAAAAAUUUGUGAUGGUACUUCAGGAAUAAGGGGGUGCUAACUCUGUGCCAGCAGCAGCGGUAACACAGAGCCCCCAAGCGUUAACCGGAUUUACUGGGCGUAAAGAGCUAAAAGGUGGCUUAGUAAGUCAGAAGUUAAAGACCAGGGCUCAACCCUGGGAAAGCUUUUGAAACUACUAAGCUAGAGGAUGGAAGAGGCAAGUGGAAUUGCUGGUGUAGCGGUAGAA
rnacentral:rRNA from 1 species